CUUCCGUAGGUGAACCUGCGGAAGGAUCAUUACCGAGUGCGGGUCCUUUGGGCCCAACCUCCCAUCCGUGUCUAUUGUACCCUGUUGCUUCGGCGGGCCCGCCGCUUGUCGGCCGCCGGGGGGGCGCCUCUGCCCCCCGGGCCCGUGCCCGCCGGAGACCCCAACACGAACACUGUCUGAAAGCGUGCAGUCUGAGUUGAUUGAAUGCAAUCAGUUAAAACUUUCAACAAUGGAUCUCUUGGUUCCGGCAUCGAUGAAGAACGCAGCGAAAUGCGAUAACUAAUGUGAAUUGCAGAAUUCAGUGAAUCAUCGAGUCUUUGAACGCACAUUGCGCCCCCUGGUAUUCCGGGGGGCAUGCCUGUCCGAGCGUCAUUGCUGCCCUCAAGCCCGGCUUGUGUGUUGGGUCGCCGUCCCCCUCUCCGGGGGGACGGGCCCGAAAGGCAGCGGCGGCACCGCGUCCGAUCCUCGAGCGUAUGGGGCUUUGUCACAUGCUCUGUAGGAUUGGCCGGCGCCUGCCGACGUUUUCCAACCAUUCUUUCCAGGUUGACCUCGGAUCAG
rnacentral:rRNA from 1 species